GUACCUGUAACUCAAUAGGAAAGAGUAGACGACUCAUAAUCGUUAAGUUGUAAGUUCGAGUCUUACCGGGUACACCA
rnacentral:tRNA from 1 species